AGGUUCUAUACAGGAGCUGUAGGUUCUAUACAGGUACAGUAGGUUCUAAACAGGAGCUGUAGGUUCUAUACAGGAGCUGUAGGUUCUACACAGGAGCUGUAGGUUCUAAACAGGAGCUGUAGGUUCUAUACAGGUACAGUAGGAUCUACACAGGAGCUGUAGGUUCUACACAGGAGCUGUAGGUUCCUUACAGGUACAGUAGGUUCUAUACAGGAGCUGUAGGUUCUACACAGGAGCUGUAGGUUCCUUACAGGUACAGUAGGUUCUAUACAGGAGCUGUAGGUUCUACACAGGAGCUGUAGGUUCUAUACAGGUACAGUAGGUUCUACACAGGAGCUGUAGGUUCUAUACAGGAGCUGUAGGUUUUACACAGGAGCUGUAGGUUCCUUACAGGUACAGUAGGUUCUACACAGGAGCUGUAGGUUCCUUACAGGUACAGUAGGUUCUAUACAGGAGCUGUAGGUUCUACACAGGAGCUGUAGGUUCUAUACAGGUACAGUAGGUUCUACACAGGAGCUGUAGGUUCUACACAGGAGCUGUGGGUUCAUUACAGGUACAGUAGGUUCUACACAGGAGCUGUAGAUUCUAUACAGGAGCUGUAGGUUCUACACAGGAGCUGUAGGUUCUAUACAGGUACAGUAGGUUCUACACAGGAGCUGUAGGUUCUACACAGGAGCUGUAGGUUCUAUACAGGUACAGUAGGUUCUAUACAGGAGCUGUAGGUUCCUUACAGGUACAGUAGGUUCUAUACAGGAGCUGUAGGUUCUACACAGGAGCUGUA